GUGAGGAAUAUUGCGCAAUGGAGGCAACUCUGACGCAGCCAUGCCGCGUGCAGGAAGAAGGCGCUACGCGUUGUAAACUGCUUUUAACCGGGAAGAAACCCCAGGACGUGUCCUGGGUUGACGGUACCGGAGGAAUAAGCACCGGCUAACUUCGUGCCAGCAGCCGCGGUAAUACGAAGGGUGCAAGCGUUAUCCGGAUUCAUCGGGUUUAAAGGGUGCGUAGGCGGAGCGUUAAGUCAGUGGUGAAAUCCUGCAGCUUAACUGUAGACUUGCCAUUGAUACUGGCGCUCUUGAGUGCGCUUGAAGUGGGCGGAAUGUGCCGUGUAGCGGUGAAAUGCUUAGAUAUGGCACAGAACACAAAUUGCGAAGGCAGCUCACUAAGGCGAUACUGACGCUGAGGCACGAAAGCGUGGGGAUCGAACAGGAUUAGAUACCCCAGUAGUCC
rnacentral:rRNA from 1 species